rnacentral:lncRNA from 1 species
CCCCAACUCCCUUGAUUUAACCCGCGAACACCAAAACUACUCUGGCCAUCACCAGAGCUCUAGUGCCGCCCACUAAACUCCAAAAUCAGCGAUCAAAAAACCGAUUCAUUGUUCCGAUUCAGUCGACUCCCACCAGAAAAUAACAACAACAACCAGUUGACCACCACCCAUCUCCUUUCACCUCGCCGGAAUAUGUGACCCUACCAGUCCCCAC